CCACUUGACGCGUUUCACCUAUAAAAGGCUUCCUCAGAAGUGUGGUUGAGGUCCUGGUUCCAUCCGUUUAUAUAGGGAGUCCAUUAAGUGUGAUAAUGUCUUGGUGUGAUGUAGGGCUUACUUCCUGUUCCUGUAACCACCGGUGGAACGCACGCGUCACAGCGGGUUGUAGGGCAGCGUUGCCGCCAGUGGAUAUCAAUCUAAUUUGACUCACAAUUUGACACAAUAUAGUCAGCAUGACAAUAUAACAAUAUUGAUUGAAAUAGCUUUUGAUUUCAG